GUCGACGAUGAAGGGAAGCUUGCUUCUUGGAUUAGUGGCGGACGGGUGAGUAACACGUGAGUAACCUGCCCUUGACUCUGGGAUAAGCACUGGAAACGGUGUCUAAUACCGGAUACGAACUUCCACCGCAUGGUGAGGAGUUGGAAAGAAUUUCGGUCAAGGAUGGACUCGCGGCCUAUCAGCUAGUUGGUGAGGUAAUGGCUCACCAAGGCGACGACGGGUAGCCGGCCUGAGAGGGUGACCGGCCACACUGGGACUGAGACACGGCCCAGACUCCUACGGGAGGCAGCAGUGGGGAAUAUUGCACAAUGGGCGAAAGCCUGAUGCAGCAACGCCGCGUGAGGGACGAAGGCCUUCGGGUUGUAAACCUCUUUUAGUAGGGAAGAAGCGAAAGUGACGGUACCUGCAGAAAAAGCACCGGCUAACUACGUGCCAGCAGCCGCGGUAAUACGUAGGGUGCAAGCGUUGUCCGGAAUUAUUGGGCGUAAAGAGCUCGUAGGCGGUUUGUCGCGUCUGCUGUGAAAUCCCGAGGCUCAACCUCGGGCCUGCAGUGGGUACGGGCAGACUAGAGUGCGGUAGGGGAGAUUGGAAUUCCUGGUGUAGCGGUGGAAUGCGCAGAUAUCAGGAGGAACACCAAUGGCGAAGGCAGAUCUCUGGGCCGUUACUGACGCUGAGGAGCGAAAGCGUGGGGAGCAAACAG
rnacentral:rRNA from 1 species